GAUGAACGCUAACGACAGGCUUAACACAUGCAAGUCGAGGGGCAGCAGGGGAGUAGCAAUACUCCCGCUGGCGACCGGCGCACGGGUGAGUAACACGUAUGCAACCUGCCCUUGUCAGGGGGAUAAGCGGAAGAAAUUCCGUCUAAUACCGCAUAACGCUGCGGGGAGACAUCUCCCUGCAGCCAAAGAUUUAUCGGACAAGGAUGGGCAUGCGGCGCAUUAGCUUGUUGGCGGGGUAACGGCCCACCAAGGCGACGAUGCGUAGGGGUUCUGAGAGGAAGGUCCCCCACACUGGUACUGAGACACGGACCAGACUCCUACGGGAGGCAGCAGUGAGGAAUAUUGGUCAAUGGCCGGGAGGCUGAACCAGCCAAGUCGCGUGAGGGAAGACGGUCCUAUGGAUUGUAAACCUCUUUUGUCAGGGAGCAAAAACUGCCACGCGUGGCAGGAUGAGAGUACCUGAAGAAAAAGCAUCGGCUAACUCCGUGCCAGCAGCCGCGGUAAUACGGAGGAUGCGAGCGUUAUCCGGAUUUAUUGGGUUUAAAGGGUGCGUAGGCGGACAGUUAAGUCAGCGGUAAAAUUGAGAGGCUCAACCUCUUCCCGCCGUUGAAACUGAUUGUCUUGAGUGGGCGAGAAGUAUGCGGAAUGCGUGGUGUAGCGGUGAAAUGCAUAGAUAUCACGCAGAACUCCGAUUGCGGAGGCAGCAUACCGGCGCCCAACUGACGCUGAAGCACGAAAGCGUGGGUAUCGAACAGGAUUAGAUACCCUGGUAGUCCACGCAGUAAACGAUGAAUACUAAUUGUUCGGGUCGAGUGAGAUCUGAGUGAUACAGCGAAAGCGUUAAGUAUUCCACCUGGGGAGUACGCCGGCAACGGUGAAACUCAAAGGAAUUGACGGGGGCCCGCACAAGCGGAGGAACAUGUGGUUUAAUUCGAUGAUACGCGAGGAACCUUACCCGGGCUCAAACGACACAGGAAUGAUCUGAGAAAUCAGGCAGUCCUUCGGGACCUGUGUCGAGGUGCUGCAUGGUUGUCGUCAGCUCGUGCCGUGAGGUGUCGGCUUAAGUGCCAUAACGAGCGCAACCCCCAUCGACAGUUGCCAGCAGGUCAAGCUGGGCACUCUGUCGAGACUGCCGGCGCAAGCUGUGAGGAAGGCGGGGAUGACGUCAAAUCAGCACGGCCCUUACGUCCGGGGCGACACACGUGUUACAAUGGCAGGUACAGCGGGAAGCCACCUGGCGACAGGGAGCGGAACCCGAAAGCCUGUCUCAGUUCGGAUUGGAGUCUGCAACUCGACUCCAUGAAGCUGGAUUCGCUAGUAAUCGCGCAUCAGCCACGGCGCGGUGAAUACGUUCCCGGGCCU
rnacentral:rRNA from 1 species